rnacentral:rRNA from 1 species
UACGUAGGGUGCGAGCGUUAAUCGGAAUUACUGGGCGUAAAGCGUGCGCAGGCGGUUGGUUAAGUCUGAUGUGAAAGCCCCGAGCUCAACUUGGGAAUGGCAUUGGAAACUGGCUGGCUAGAGUGUGGCAGAGGGGGGUGGAAUUCCACGUGUAGCAGUGAAAUGCGUAGAUAUGUGGAGGAAUACCGAUGGCGAAGGCAGCCCCCUGGGAUAACACUGACGCUCAUGCACGAAAGCGUGGGGAGCAAACAGG